rnacentral:rRNA from 1 species
UGGGGAAUAUUGCACAAUGGGCGCAAGCCUGAUGCAGCCAUGCCGCGUGUGUGAAGAAGGCCUUCGGGUUGUAAAGCACUUUCAGUAAGGAGGAAAGGUUAGUCACUAAUAUUGGCUAGCUGUGACGUUACUUACAGAAGAAGCACCGGCUAACUCCGUGCCAGCAGCCGCGGUAAUACGGAGGGUGCGAGCGUUAAUCGGAAUUACUGGGCGUAAAGCGUACGCAGGCGGUUUGUUAAGCGAGAUGUGAAAGCCCCGGGCUCAACCUGGGAACUGCAUUUCGAACUGGCAAACUAGAGUGUGAUAGAGGGUGGUAGAAUUUCAGGUGUAGCGGUGAAAUGCGUAGAGAUCUGAAGGAAUACCGAUGGCGAAGGCAGCCACCUGGGUCAACACUGACGCUCAUGUACGAAAGCGUGGGGAGCAAACAGGAUUAGAUACCCCCGUAGUCC